rnacentral:rRNA from 1 species
UACGUAGGGUGCGAGCGUUGUCCGGAAUUAUUGGGCGUAAAGGGCUCGUAGGCGGUCUGUCACGUCGGGAGUGAAAACACGGGGCUUAACCCCGUGCCUGCUUCCGAUACGGGCAGACUAGAGGUAUGCAGGGGAGAACGGAAUUCCUGGUGUAGCGGUGAAAUGCGCAGAUAUCAGGAGGAACACCAGUGGCGAAGGCGAGUCCCUGGACAACACCUGACACUGAGGCACGAAAGCUAGGGGAGCAAACAGG